GGUACAUGCCACAGUGGGCCCCUCCCCUAGGCAACCAACUGCUAAUGAGUGACAGUUAGUGGUCCUGCUCAGCCAUUGGUCAGCACCACAGUGGGCUCCUUCCCCAAGUGAUCAACUGUCAAUGAGUGACCAUUAGUGGGUGAUUCAGCCAGUGGUCAGCAAAGUGAUGGUCAUCAGGCAGAGUGAGCAUCAUCAGCUAAGGAGGAAAAGUAACAAAGAACUUGAGGACUUUCAUGGCUCCCAGGCCCUGGAUGGAGACCGGCGGCAUCAGGCAGCUUCAGACAGAGAACCGUGGAAGCUGAGGGGCAGCCGGGAUGCGCCUGGGGCUGCAAAGCCCAGGCGGAUUCUUUACCAGCUGAGCCACCAGGGAAGCCCAGAACUUACAAAGGGGGAGGUCAGGAAGAGGAUGACCAAAUAUUAUUGUAGCCUAACAUUAUUAAGAACAAAUGUUUAGCAAUGGAACCAUAUAGGGGUCAAGGGAUCAAGAAACAACCCUUUAGCUUUUAUGUCCCAGGCGCUGUGUGCUUAGUUGCUGACUCUUUGCGGCCUCCUGGGCUACAGCCCGCCAGGCUCCUCUGCCAUGG
rnacentral:lncRNA from 1 species